GAAGGAUAAGAGUUUGAUCCUGGCUCAGGACGAACGCUGGCGGCGUGCCUAACACAUGCAAGUUGAGCGGAGAUAUAUGGAGCUUGCUUUAUAUAACUUAGCAGCGAACGGGUGAGUAACACGUAGAUAAUCUAUCCUAUACUGGGGGAUAGCCCGAUGAAAGUUGGAUUAAUACCGCAUAUAGCUAUAUAGUUGCAUGAUUAUGUAGUGAAAGAUUUAUUGGUAUAGGAGGAGUCUGCGGCACAUUAGCUAGUAGGUGAGGUAAAGGCUUACCUAGGCGACGAUGUGUAGCUGGUCUGAGAGGAUGAACGGCCACAAUGGAACUGAGACACGGUCCAUACUCCUACGGGAGCAGCAGUGGGGAAUAUUGCACAA
rnacentral:rRNA from 1 species